rnacentral:rRNA from 1 species
AUUAGAGUUUGAUCCUGGCUCAGGACUAACGCUGGCGGCGUGCCUAACACAUGCAAGUCGAACGAAGCAGCAAUGCUUAGUGGCAGACGGGUGAGUAACGCGUAGAUAAUGUGCCCUCUUGCGGGGGAUACCGUUUCGAAAGGAACGUUAAUACCGCAUAAUACAGUUUUUGGUUAUCCGAGAGCUGUCAAACUUCCGGGGCGGGAGGAGCAGUCUGCGUACUAUCAGGUAGUUGGUGAGGUAAUGGCUCACCAAGCCUACGACGGUUAACUGGUCUGAGAGGAUGAUCAGUCACACUGGAACUGAGACACGGUCCAGACUCCUACGGGAGGCAGCAGUGAGGAAUAUUGCGCAAUGGGCGAAAGCCUGACGCAGCGACGCCGCGUGGAGGAUGAAGGCCUUCGGGUUGUAAACUCCUGUCAGUUGGGAAGAGAAUGGACGGUACCAACUGAGGAAGCUUCGGCUAACUACGUGCCAGCAGCCGCGGUAAGACGUAGGGAGCAAGCGUUGUCCGGAAUUACUGGGCGUAAAGAGCUCGUAGGCGGGAGCGUAAGUCUCAGAGUAAAUCUCACGGCUCAACCGUGAGGCCUUCUGAGAUACUGCGUUUCUUGAGGAUGUCAGAGGAAAGUGGAAUUCCCGGUGUAGCGGUGAAAUGCGUAG